UUUGAGGCCAGCCCUUCGGGGUCUGGUACCCGGGCCGGGGGAGUGCUGUUUGUUCUGGGUGUUGAGUGUGUGCAAUGGCAUCGGGUCCGUGUUGGUUUGAGCUGGCGGUCGGUGGCGGUCGCGUGCGACACGUGCCAGCAGUCAGUUCGGUCCUGCUCGGGCUCUCAUUGCAUGUUCUCGGUGUAAAAGCCGGUCAUCUGUCCGACCCGUCUUGAAACACGGACCAAGGAGUUUAGCGUGUGCGCGAGUCAUUGGGUGUUGAAAACCCAAGGGCGUAAUGAAAGUGAAGGUCUCCUUGCGGAGCUGAUGUGUGAUCCCGUGCACCCCGGUGUGCGGGCGCAACAUAGUCCCGUUCCUAUCGCAUGCGAUGGGGCGGAGACAGAGCGUACGCGCUGAGACCCGAAAGAUGGUGAACUAUUCCUGAGCAGGAUGAAGCCAGAGGAAACUCUGGUGGAAGUCCGAAGCGAUUCUGACGUGCAAAUCGAUCG
rnacentral:rRNA from 1 species